AUUGAACGCUGGCGGUAGGCCUAACACAUGCAAGUCGAACGGCAGCACAGAGGAGCUUGCUCCUUGGGUGGCGAGUGGCGGACGGGUGAGGAAUACAUCGGAAUCUACUCUGUCGUGGGGGAUAACGCAGGGGAACUUACGCUAAUACCGCAUACGACCUACGGGUGAAAGCAGGGGACCUUCGGGCCUUGCGCGAUUGAAUGAGCCGAUGUCGGAUUAGCUAGUUGGCGGGGUAAAGGCCCACCAAGGCGACGAUCCGUAGCUGGUCUGAGAGGAUGAUCAGCCACACUGGAACUGAGACACGGUCCAGACUCCUACGGGAGGCAGCAGUGGGGAAUAUUGGACAAUGGGCGCAAGCCUGAUCCAGCCAUACCGCGUGGGUGAAGAAGGCCUUCGGGUUGUAAAGCCCUUUUGUUGGGAAAGAAAUCCAGCUGGCUAAUACCCGGUUGGGAUGACGGUACCCAAAGAAUAAGCACCGGCUAACUUCGUGCCAGCAGCCGCGGUAA
rnacentral:rRNA from 1 species